GGAGAGAUGGCUGAGUGGACUAAAGCGGCAGAUUGCUAAUUUGUACCGAGGGUUCGAAUCCCUCUCUCUCCG